AAAUUAGAGUGCUGGAAAAUAUGGCAAAGGUCAACUUGUAAUUGUUGUUCCUAUAAGACAGAGAAGCUCAGAGCUGUGUCACAGCAUGAGCAGACAUCACAUAACUGGAGAUAGGGAAGAUACUGAUUCAGCUGUGCAUUGAAACUACAUUCAGCACCCAACGAUGAGACAGAUUUUCCUCAAGAUAUAUGUUACCACUGCUGAGGAAAUCGUUGGGAUUAGUACUGUUGUAGCUGCAGACAAGGCAGAAGCCUUUUAUAAAUUACUUGUUGAAGAACUUUCAAGGUUUCUUAGAUUGUUUCUCAAACAUGCAUAUGUUCAGCUUAGGACCCAACAGUUAUUUACAUUAAGGUUUUAUGUUUAUGUGAUGAGGACAAGAAGGAGAACAGAGAAUCAUUUUACUUUCCAGAAAAUAGAUCUUCCUAAUCUGCACAAUCGAAAAAUUCAGUGCACUAGUAAUGAUAUCCAUGUGCAUAAAGUACCUGGUUUGCCUUGAAUAUUUAUAGUGAGACAAGAUGUUCUCAUCCAUUUUUAGAUAUUGGAAAAAAAGUAAAUCCCUCAAAGGAAAAAGAAAGAAUUCUGAGCUCAGGUUGUGUAAUUAUACAUAAUAACUUUGACGCCUAGAUAGAUAAGUUGAUUCACAUGAGAUCAGGACCUAUCCAAAAUUUUUUAUGUUAACUUGUCUAACAUAAACCCCAAAGAUUUUUUGGUAGCCUUUGCCAGUAAAUCAAACAGUUUGCAUGAAUAUUAAUGCUUACUAAAAUAAGGUAUUAAUAAUAAUAGCUAGAUCUAGAUACACUGUGCAAGGCACCUCUGAUACUUUUCAUUCACAAUUAUUCUAAUAUACAUCAGUCACUUUGAAGAAAGAAGUUACUUCUUCUUUGUCAAUAUUUUACAUAUUCUUGACAAAAGAAUGACUUGUUGUUGUUAUUGACAAUGCAUAUGCACGGCUUUCUGUCAUCUUCAGAUUGCAUGCUUUCCAGUCACUGCUCACUUAUUUCUCAUAACUUGCUUUCAAAGCAUGUAUGCAAGAGGGAAAUAUGUAUGCUUCAUAGUAAUAAAACUUAACUUUAGUCACCA
rnacentral:lncRNA from 1 species